rnacentral:rRNA from 1 species
UCGAGAAUCUUCGGCAAUGGGCGAAAGCCUGACCGAGCGACGCCGCGUGCGCGAUGAAGGCCUUCGGGUUGUAAAGCGCUGUCAGGGGGGAACAAUCAAUGAGUGAUCCCCAGAGGAAGCACGGGCUAAGUUCGUGCCAGCAGCCGCGGUAAGACGAACCGUGCGAACGUUGUUCGGAAUCACUGGGCUUAAAGGGCGCGUAGGCGGCUUGCCAAGUCAGAGGUGAAAGCUUUCGGCUCAACCGGAAAAGUGCCUUUGAUACUGGUAAGCUAGAGGGAGGUAGGGGCAGAUGGAACUUCCGGUGGAGCGGUGAAAUGUGUUGAUAUCGGAAGGAACGCCGGUGGCGAAAGCGAUCUGCUGGACCUCUUCUGACGCUGAGGCGCGAAAGCUAGGGUAGCGAACGGGAUUAGAUACCCCCGUAGUCC